rnacentral:rRNA from 1 species
AUACGGAGGGGGCAAGCGUUGUUCGGAUUUACUGGGCGUAAAGGGUGUGUAGGCGGUUGCGUAAGUCUGGUGUGAAAUCUUCACCGCUUAACGGGAAGAGUGCAUUGGAAACUGCGUAACUCGAGUAUGGUAGAGGCAAGCGGAAUUCCUGGUGUAGCGGUGGAAUGUGUAGAUAUCAGGAAGAACAUCUGUGGCGAAGGCGGCUUGCUGGGCCAUCACUGACGCUGAGACACGAAAGCGUGGGGAGC